rnacentral:misc_RNA from 1 species
AAGUCGUAACAAGGUUUCCGUAGGUGAACCUGCGGAAGGAUCAUUACCGAGUGCAGGUCUGCCCCCGGGCAGGCCUAACCUCCCACCCGUGAAUACCUGACCAACGUUGCUUCGGCGGUGCGCCCCCCUGGCGGGAGCCGCCGGACGGACCACACCGAACCUCCUGUCUUUAGUGUUGUCUGAGCUUGAUAGCAAACCUAUUAAAA